UACGCAAAGGAUUAUGUCACCAGAAGUAGUACUGUACGUGAGCGACACCAUGCUUUGCAGCACAGCCACAUACAGUGCUCUGACCACCAAUGAAAGAGGAACCAAUUGCAGACUUUCAAUUUGCCCAACAGGAUGGCAAUAGCCUUUGGAGGGAUUUUACAUGCAUCUACAGAAGUACAUGUUGUCUCCCUCACCAGAUGGAAAUCUGUUAUCUUUGAGGGAUGCAGGUGGACCACCAGGGAGUCUGAUAGAAUAUCUUUAUACCACCAAGCUAUCCUUCAGGUAUGUCUGCUUUAUUGCCUAAAGAAGACUGGUCCACUAUUUCUAACUUGCAGGUGGACUCAAAGAAUAAACAUUUCUUAGUCACAGAAGGGAGGGAGGGAGUUGUUGCUAGCCUCUCGUUCCCAAUUUCCAACCAAUUAUAUAAUUCUCAUCCCCAUGAUGCUGCCAUCCCUAUAACGAAUUGCAUUAUUUUCCUUACCCAUCCUAUUUUAUUCUUUGUUCUAUGUUUAUAAAAAGGAGCUGUGCCUCCUCCUCUGGGUCAUUAGCCUAAUUGAGGUAGACAUUUGACCCACUUUAUUAACAGAUUUACACCCUGCUAACAAACUGAUAAAGCUCUGAAUUCUGUGUCUCAGUUUGUUGCUAUUUAGUCAUUUCAGUCAUGUCUGACUCUUCAUGACCUUAUUUGGGGAUUUCUUGGCAAAGAUACUGGAGAAGUUUGCCAUUUCCUUCUCCAGCUCAUUUUGCAGAUGAGGAAACUGAGGUAAACAGCAGUAAGUGACUUGCCCAGGAUCCUACAGCUAGUAAGUACCUGAGGUCUUCCCAACUCCAGGUCUGGCAUUGUAUCCACUGUGCCACCUAGCUACCUCAUAUCUCAGUUUACCUUUAUUAAAUUCUAUUGAGACAUUGGAUACAGCUUCCUAGUUGCUGCUGGCU